rnacentral:rRNA from 1 species
CCUACUCUCGCAUGGGGAGACCCCACACUACCAUCGGCGCUACGGCGUUUCACUUCUGAGUUCGGCAUGGGGUCAGGUGGGACCACCGCGCUAAGGCCGCCA